CGCGCGUGUGAAGCCGCUAUGCAGAGCCAAGAGGGUGGCGCUGGUGCAUGCAAGCUACCGAAACCGGGAUGAGCCCGCGUCCUAUUAGCUUGUUGGUGGGGUAGCGGCCCACCCGAGGCGACGAUGGGUAGCUGGUCUGAGAGGACGGCCAGCCACACUGGUACUGGUACACGGUCCAGAAUCCUACGGGAGGCAGCAGUGAGGGAUAGUGCGCGAAUGGGCGGACACCCUGACAGCAGGGACGCGCGCGUGGGUAGUACACGUGAGCGCCUUGUCCGAGUGUCCUGUCAGUAGCCCGCGUAGUGCGAAGGGCGCGCGUGUAGAGAUAUGUCUCGACGCUGCGCGUCUUCGAUAUCGUGGCCACGGGAGUCUAAUGAAACGGGUAACCCGGUGCUGAGAAAGGAAGGCACCC
rnacentral:rRNA from 1 species